UCCUCUACCUGCUUUCAAUUUGGGUAACCAUAAGUUCAUAAAAGAGAUUUGUUCACUUCAAGUAAUUAACUCUUUCUUUUCCUUUCUCUAAACAAAUGUUAAAACGAUAUAUGUUACACAGAGAUUAGUUCUCUGUAGGUUACUAGUAUACUAAAUGCCCUUAGGGAACAACAAUGGAGCUUACAUUUCUUUCUCAUGCAUCAAAGAAUAGAGCAGAAUUGAGGACAGCAAUGAACUCUAGGAAGCACUCCAGAUACAUAUUUUUUUAAUCCAACUGGCAAAAUUAAGCGAGAUUAUGCUGGGAAUCUGAGAUAUUUAAGGAACUGACAGAAGAAAGAAAUACCUAUUCAAAUGAAAAAUAAUUAAUUCCUUUCCCUUUCUCUUUUAAGGUCAGUGAAAAAAGGUUCUGGCAAUUUUUACAACUAUUUAAAGAAAUCAAACUAUGUAGCACCCACUUUCAUAAAUAUUUAUCCAAUUUAAUCCUCAAAACAAGCCCCAGGACAUUAACCUCCACAUUUUUACAAAUAAGAAAAUGGCUUUAAAUAGGAAGAACUGAGACUUGCCCAACAUCCCAAGGGCCAAACUUGCAGGUCUCCUGACUUCAGAGCUCAGGCACGCCCAUUAUCGCACUGCCACUCCAGGGAUCUGUGGGUAUGCUUCCCGGCUGCUGUUCCACAUAAAAUUUGCUUUUCUAUAUAGUUAUCUCCAAACAUCUUCAUCCUACUAAGUCUUGAAAUUUUUCCAAUUCUCUUCCAUGUAUGGGCGAGUGAGCUGGAUCCUUUGCAGGAGAUUUCUAAAAAUGAAUUCGAAGAGAUGACCUCUAAGCUAGAAACUUCAUUUUUCAAGAAAAUUGCCCAGGAAAUAACUCUUGAGCAUUGCUUGUCUGGGAAGCCCAAACUUAUUGAUGGUAUACUGGAUUUGAACAAUUAAGUAAAUGGAUGGUGAGCAGUGGGAGCCUGAUUUCUGACUGUUGGAGUGAGAGGAGUAUCUAGUCCAGUGCUUUCCAUCCUGAAGAUUUAUUGAAGAAAGCAUGGCAUCCUAAUGAAAUCAAUACCAUCACAGCCCAGUCUUAACAGAAACUUAAAACAUAACAGAGUAUACCACAAAAUAUCAGACUAUGUUGCACACA